AUACGUAGGUGGCAAGCGUUGUCCGGAAUUACUGGGUGUAAAGGGCGUGUAGGCGGGGGUGCAAGUCAGAUGUGAAAUUCCUGAGCUCAACUCGGGCGCUGCUUCUGAAACUGCAGGACUUGAGUGCUGGCGGGGCUGGUAGAAUUCCUGGGGUAGCGGUAAAAUGCGUAGAUAUCAGGAGGAAUACCGGUGGCGAAGGCGGUCAUCUGGCUCAUUAUUGACGCUGAAGCACGAAAGCGUAGGUAGCGAACAGGAUUAGAUACCCUGGUAGUCUACGCUGUAAACGAUGUAUGCUUGGUGUUAUGCGUUUAUGCGCGUAGUGCCGUAGGAAAUCUGGUAAGCAUACCACCUGGGGAGUACGAAUGCAAGUUUGAAACUCAAAUGAAUUGACGGGG
rnacentral:rRNA from 1 species